rnacentral:rRNA from 1 species
CCCUUAGAUGUCCGGGGCUGCACGCGCGCUACACUGAAGGAAUCAGCGUGCUAAAACCAUUGUCGAAAGGCAUUGGUAAACCCAUUAAAAUCCUACGUGAUUGGGAUCGGGAAUUGCAAUUAUUUCCCUUGAACGAGGAAUUCCCAGUAAGUGUGGGUCAUAAGCUCGCGUUGAUUACGUCCCUGCCCUUUGUACACACCGCCCGUCGCUGCCCGGGACUGAGCCGUUUCGAGAAAAGCGGGGACUGCUGCUGUCGGGGCUUUCGGGCUUUGGCUUCGGUGGAAACCGCUUUAAUCGCAGUGGCUUGAACCGGGCAAAAGUCGUAACA